UUAAACAAACCUUCUUAAAAUUUCUGAGAUUUGUUUAUUUUGCAUAUUCAGUAAAU
rfam:Simian hepatitis A virus (HAV) 3D mRNA for RNA polymerase 3' flank